rnacentral:rRNA from 1 species
AUUGAACGCUGGCGGCAUGCUUAGCACAUGCAAGUCGAACGGCAGCGCGGGCUUCGGCCUGGCGGCGAGUGGCGAACGGGUGAGUAAUACAUCGGAACGUGCCCAGUAGUGGGGGAUAGCUCGGCGAAAGCCGGAUUAAUACCGCAUACGACCUGAGGGUGAAAGCGGGGGAUCUUCGGACCUCGCGCUAUUGGAGCGGCCGAUGGCGGAUUAGCUAGUUGGUGGGGUAAAGGCCUACCAAGGCGACGAUCUGUAGCUGGUCUGAGAGGACGACCAGCCACACUGGGACUGAGACACGGCCCAGACUCCUACGGGAGGCAGCAGUGGGGAAUUUUGGACAAUGGGCGAAAGCCUGAUCCAGCAAUGCCGCGUGUGUGAUGAAGGCCUUCGGGUUGUAAAGCACUUUUGGCGGGAACGAAGAGGACUGUGCCAAUACCACGGUUCGAUGACGUUACCCGCAGAAUAAGCACCGGCUAACUACGUG